AUGCAGACAACUGCGGUUGAAACAAGCUGCUACUCAUUAGCAGGAUGACUUAACCAUAAAAAUCUUCAAUUUUCUCUGGAAAAUGGGGAUAAUAAGCUCAUAUAAUCUCCUAGGGUUGCUGGGAGAAUUAAAUCAGAAGCUAUGAUAAUAAGGCAAACAGAUGCUUCUGGAGUGUAGCAGAUUGUAUUUCUGAAAAUGGCCACAAGAAUGUGCUCUCCUAGAACCUUGCCCAUGCCCCCAUCAAGAGGUGGAUGGUUCUUUGUGACAGCCACACUGAAUAGGAUGUGGUGGAGGUGGUACUGUGUGACUGGCUAAUAAAAGGUAAUAUGGCCUCUGUCUCUCUCUCGUUCUGUACUAUAAGAGUUCUGAACCAUCCUGUGACAAGUCUAGUUACCCUAAAGCUGUCAUGCAGGAGAGACCAUGUGGAGAGAAGGAGAGUUAGAGAGAGGAGGAGCCCCUGCUGUUUGAGUAUUCUCAGCCCAGACACCAGACAUGAGUGAGGAAGCAUUCAGAACUCCAGGCAGUGUGACCACCUGAAAACUUACACUUCCUAGCCUCCCAUGCAGAUGUGGUCAUGAUGGCUGGAGCCCUAGCAACCAUAUCAUGACCACGAGAAUGGGUACACUAGAACCAGGAUGGCAUGGCAAAGGAUUGGAAAAGAACCAGGGUCUCUGAUGACUUUAUGAGGCCACUACACAGCUCUACAUCGACUACCUCCAAUCUUAUUUAAUGAAAAGACAGAAGCUGAUUGAGGUCCCAGCUUGGUAACAGUUUGAAGAGUUGCAGGACUGGCUGGAUGAGUACUGGCUGCAGCAAAUCAGGCUGCCAGGAUUCUUUAUGGCUGUUUCUGCUUCCACUACAGCUGAGUCAGAAAGGUCGCUGCCCCGUGGUGGCACUAGACGCAGUGGACCUGGCAAGCAAAUGUUUCCGCUAUUAGCUCUCAGCAACAGAGACUCAUUUAUGGUCACCUUGGAAAUCUGGGCUUAUCGAUCUACAGCCCAAGUCUGCUGAGAAGCUGGAGCUUACUAAAGGGGAAACCUGAGAGCUGUUCAAGCCCCAAAUAUUUUCCACUUCUGCGUCACCUCUGCUGUCUGUUAGCAGAGUGGAGGAGAAAAUACACAGCACAAACAACGUGAAAAAAUAGUUACUCUAUUCAUUAAAAGCUGUAACUUCCAGAUUGGACUUGAGAAGCAAUUAAGCAACAGAGGAACCUCAUCUACUAUC
rnacentral:lncRNA from 10 species